AGUGAACGCUGGCGGUAGGCCUAACACAUGCAAGUCGAACGGCAGCACAGUAAGCGCUUGCUCCUACGGGUGGCGAGUGGCGGACGGGUGAGGAAUACAUCGCAAUCUACUUUUUCGUGGGUGAUAACGUAGGGAAAUUUACGCUAAUACCGCAUACUACCUACGGGUGAAAGCAGGGGAUCUUCGGAGCUUGCGCGUCUGAUUGAGCCGAAGUCGGAUUAGCUAGUUGGCGGGGUAAAGGCCCACCAAGGCGACGAUCCGUAGCUGGUCUGAGAGGAUGAUCAGCCACACUGGAACUGAGACACGGUCCAGACUCCUACGGGAGGCAGCAGUGGGGAAUAUUGGACAAUGGGCGCAAGCCUGAUCCAGCCAUGCCGCGUGGGUGAAGAAGGCCUUCGGGUUGUAAAACCCUGUUGUUGGGAAAGAAAAGCAGCAGGUUAAACCCCGGCUGUUCUGACGGUACCCAAAGAAUAAGCACCGGCUAACUACGUG
rnacentral:rRNA from 1 species